rnacentral:rRNA from 2 species
GUCUUGUAAUUGGAAUGAUGGUGACCCAAACCCUCACCAGAGUAGCAAUUGGAGGGCAAGUCUGGUGCCAGCAGCCGCGGUAAUUCCAGCUCCAAUAGCGUAUAUUAAACUUGUUGCAGUUAAAAAGCUCGUAGUUGUAUUUUUGCGUUAGCGGUUUGACCAUUUGGUUGGUUAUUUCGUUUUCGCUUUUGGGAAUUUCCCUUUUUACUUUGAGAAAAUUAGAGUGUUUCAAGCAGACUUUUGUCUUGAAUACUUCAGCAUGGAAUAAUAGAGUAGGACUUUGGUUCUAUUUUGUUGGUUAUUGAACCUUAGUAAUGGUUAAUAGGAACGGUUGGGGGCAUUCGUAUUUAACUGUCAGAGGUGAAAUUCUUAGAUUUGUUAAAGACGAACUACUGCGAAAGCAUUUGCCAAGGACGUUUCCAUUAAUCAAGAACGAAAGUUAGGGGAUCGAAGACGAUCAGAUACCGUCGUAGUCCUAACCAUAAACUA